rnacentral:snoRNA from 1 species
UGCGAGACUUAGAGUCACAUCUUGAUAUUUUUUUGUUGUCAUGGUGUGCUAUAGCUCUCGUAAAUUAAAGCUCUGUGCUUAUUCAUUAACUGUACCGACACUUGCCCAGUCAAUCACCAGCUCAGAGACAGCU